rnacentral:rRNA from 1 species
GACGAACGCUGGCGGCGUGCUUAACACAUGCAAGUCGAACGAAGUGGCGAACGGGUAAGUAAUACGUGUGUAACCUGCCCUCCGUUAUGGGAUACGCCUUGGAAAAGGGGUCUAAUACCGAAUAAAGGGGGGUGGGCUCGCGGUCUAUCAGCUUGGUGGUGGGGUUACGGCCUACCAAGGCCGUGACGGGUAGCCGGACUGGGUGGGUGACCGGCCAAAUUGGGACUGAGAUACGGUCCAGACGCAGACGGGAGGCAGAAGUGGGGGACAUUGGACAAUGGGCGAAAGCCUGAUGCAGCGACGCGACGUGGGGGAUUAAGGCUUUCGGGUGGUAACCCGCUUGCGCGAUCGAAAGGGUAGGUGGAGAAGAAGCGCCGGCUAACUACGUGCCAGCAGCCGCGGUAAUUC